rnacentral:rRNA from 1 species
CGGACGGGUGAGUAAUGUCUGGGAAACUGCCUGAUGGGAGGGGGAGUAACUACCGGAAACGGUAGCUAAUACCGCAUAACGUCGCAAGACCAAAGAGGGGGACCUUCGGGCCUCUUGCCAUCAGAUGUGCCCAGAUGGGAUUAGCUAGUAGGUGGGGUAACGGCUCACCUAGGCGACGAUCCCUAGCUGGUCUGAGAGGAUGACCAGCCACACUGGAACUGAGACACGGUCCAGACUCCUACGGGAGGCAGCAUG